GGCCUGGUGGUCUAGUAGUAUGAUUCCUUGUUAGGGUAGUAUUCAAUAUCGAGGAGGUCCCGGGUUCAAUUCCCGGCCAGGCCC